rnacentral:lncRNA from 1 species
CAGUCUACUCAACGAGCUCUAAUUAAAUCGAGAAUCCUAUAUAUUAAUUUCUUUGUCUGGCUAGGAAUAAUGUCCGAAAUUCCCACAGAUAGAGAGUGAAAUGGAGGAGAGAUAACAAACAUAUAUGCACUCCAUCCAUCCCACAUAAAUUUAUGAGCGGCCAACGUUCUAAAACAUCCAUCUCAGCUCGUCGAAUUCCCUGCAGAGAUCUAGGUUGGUGCUUGCCGAAUUCCUUGCAGAAAUCCAUGCCGCGGCGGCCUCCAUCGAGGCAAGCAGCUGCUCUCCAACACCGGCCAGUGUCCAAUGGUUUCUUCUUAGAGAAAGCUGAGACUGGUCUCGAGCUUCCUGCGCCACUUAUCUCCACCGUCCAUCAGGCGUUAGUGAGCAGACGGAAGCAAACGGGAGAAGCAGUACUAAUAAAGCCCUCGUACUGUCCUUUUGCUCGUGAGAACAGUACCACAGACGUGAGUGAAAGGGACAUCUGCCCCCACAGCCACCCCAGCUUUGAAUAGGAACGAUGAGAUUGUAGGCACAGUGCGGCCAAGCCUAGCUAAACAUAGAAACAUAGAGAGAAAGAAGAAAACACAUUUUUUUUAGAGAGACUUAUAUAUGUGGAAAGAGAAAACACAUAUUAUUAAGAGAAAAAUGAAUAUAUGUAGAGAGAGAAAACACAUAUGUUUGAGAUAUAAUAGAUAUAUAGAGAGAUCAAAUAGAGAGAGAAAACACAUACUCGUGAGAAAAUGAAUACAUAUAUAAAGAGAGAGAGAAAAACACAUAUUCUUGAGAGAGAGAAUGUAUAUAUAGAGAAAGAAAACACAUAUUCUUAAGAGAGAGAAUGGAUAUAUAUAUAGAGACACAUACCAAACCAAACAGAGAAUCAAAUAUCUUUGAGAGAGAAUGCAUAUAUAUAGUUAGAGAGAGAAAACAUAACAUCAAACAAAGAAAGCAAACAUAUAUUCUUGAGAGAGAAUGGAUAUAUAUAUAUAGAUAGAUAAAGAAAACACAGUCUUGAGAGAGAACGAAUACAUAUAGAAAGAAAAAAACGAAAUCAAAUAAAUAGAAAAAA